GACGUAGGGCGCGAGCGUUGUCCGGAUUUAUUGGGCGUAAAGAGCUCGUAGGCGGCUUGUCGCGUCGUCCGUGAAAACUUGGGGCUCAACCCCAAGCUUGCGGUCGAUACGGGCAGGCUAGAGUUCGGUAGGGGAGACUGGAAUUCCUGGUGUAGCGGUGAAAUGCGCAGAUAUCAGGAGGAACACCGAUGGCGAAGGCAGUGGUCUGGGCCGAUACUGACGCUGAGGAGCGAAAGCGUGGGGAGCGAACAGG
rnacentral:rRNA from 1 species